CAUAAAUUGUGUUUGGUUAGAAAAAAGAGUUUUUUAUUUUAUUUUUUUCCUUCAAUUGUGGAUCAAAAACAAAAGAAAGCAAAAGCAGGUUAGACUCUAAAAGAGCACUUUUUUUCAUAGAAGCGCGUAAAAAUUGGCAAUUAAUGAAACAUUUGCGCUGACAAUACUAUCCUUUUCUCCUAUGCUUCGUUUAAUUUCCAGCUUUCCCUAUUUCUCUCGCACUCUCUCCUCUCCCUCUCAUCUGGUUCGAGCACAGACCCAUCUAUCCUCUUCAUUUCCUCUAGUUCAAGCACUCUUCACCAACAACAGGUGAGUUUUCUUUCGUUUCAAUUUCUAAUUUGCUUAUUUUGACAAUUUAUUGUUGGAAUAUUGAAAUAUUGAACUGAUUCAACUAUAAGUCAUUUUCUUCAUUUUUCUGCAAUUGAUUUUUGUUCCAAAAUUUUUGAAAUUUGCUGAUUAAUUUGCUUAAAUUCUAUUUUUAAUUAAUUUUUGGGACUUGAGGUGGACUAAUUUCUUUGGUUAAUUUGGUUAGAAUCGUUUUUUUCCCGUAUAAUUAGUUGAUUAGUUGUAAUUUAGUUCGGUGAUUAGUUUUUGGAUGAUACUGGAAGAUUUGAUUGCUGUUAAAUUAAAUUUACAUAGACAUGGAUACUUUCUUUCAUGUGGUAUCAGCCAAAACAUGUCUGCAACAUAAAUUUACACCGGCAUGUGGAUAAUGAGCUUUUCAAAAGUAGUUUUUUUAUUUGGACCAAAAGAUAAAAAAAUAGUAUGAGUCGCAUGAAAUGGAAGAUUACAGAAUCAUAGUAAGCAUAUGAUUUUGAGCAGGCAAUGAACAUCUCAGAGCCUUAUCUCUGGCUCAUAAUUACAAUUAUGGUAUGUAAGUCUUGAUGAUGUUGUGGUUUUUUUUGCUUUAUUGCGUGACUUGUUGUGGUCUCCAUCCCAGAGCUAUAUACAUCAUAGAGCUUCUGAUGUUGUUGUGGUCUCCAUUGAACUUUGUGUCUUGUUUUGCUCUAUCAUUAAAAUUCAAAGUUUUCAAGCCCUUUUCAUUAGUUUUCCUUUAAUAUUAUAUAUAUAAGGAUGGCAAAAAACAUGGGAACAUCAGCAAGAGCUCCACAUGGUAAAUGCAAUGAUCAGAAUAUAUCCGUAUUCAGUGAGUUAUGCAUCAAGGAUGUGGAGGCUGGACAUCGUCUUGGCCCUCACUUUAACAAAGAAAGAUCGGCAAAUUUGAUAGAAAACUUUAGGAAAGAAACAGCAAAUUCUUAUAGUAAAGCGCAAUUGAAAAAUAAGUGAGAUAGACUUAAAAAGGAUUGGUAGUUGUGCAAAAAACUAAUUGGGAAAGAAACUAGCCUAGAGUGGAAUCCAAGCAAGGGAACAGUGGAUGCCUCUGAUGAAUGGUGGAAUAAUAAGAUUCAGAUAAAUCCUGAAUAUGGAAGAUUGCAGAAAGGCAUCACUCCUGAGUUCGAGGAAAAGUUGGAUAGGAUGCUCUCAAACAGCAUUGCUAUUGGUGCAAAUGCUUGGGAACCUUCAUUUGGUGCACUACUACCAAAUAGUAGGGAGGAAUCAAUAGGAAAUGUUAAUAUACAAAAUGAAUCUAUUGGAUCGGAUGAUGAGGAGAGUGCACCACCCAAUCUAUGAGAAAAUGUGCUAAGAAAGGAAAAAAAAAAAAAGAGCUGACCAAGGUGAAUUGAGAACAAAUAAGUUUGACAGGAAAGGGAAAAAGGUUGGCGGUGCUGCAAAAUUGUAUGGUCAAAUUGACUGCCUUAUUUGUGCAGUAGAGGGUAAGAGCACUAUGAGGCAAUUGAUGAUAGGCACUAGUAUUCCUGAAGUUGUGCAGGUUGUUGAACCGUUACCUGGUUGUGAGCGUACUAGCCCGUUGUGGCUGUUUGCAGCUCGUUGGUUUUUUAAUCAAGAGAAGAGAGAGAUAUUCUCUAUCAUUAAAGAUCCUAGUGUGCAACUUACUAGGCUGAAUUAUGAGUUCAUCAACCAAUGAGGGAGUUGUAGUUUUACAAAACAUUCUAGAUUUGUACACUCUUAGUCAGAUUUUAGGAUUACGUCUUAGAAUUGGUUUGUCACCUUUCUUGAAUGUUAUUUUGAAUUAUGAGUUAAUUUUUAGAUACUUUGUUUUCAA